AACGAACGCUGGCGGCGCGUCUUAAGCAUGCAAGUCGAACGGCAAGAGAGGAGCUUGCUUCUCUCCUAGAGUGGCGCACUGGUGAGGAACACGUGGGUAAUCUACCCUUAAGAUGGGGAUAGCUGCUAGAAAUAGCAGGUAAUACCGAAUACACUCGGCAUAUCACAAGAGGUGUUGAGGAAAGGAAGCUACGGCUUCGCUUUAGGAUGAGCUUGAGUCCCAUUAGCUAGUUGGUGAGGUAAAGGCCCACCAAGGCGACGAUGGGUAUCCGGCCUGAGAGGGUGAACGGACACAUUGGGACUGAGAUACGGCCCAAACUCCUACGGGAGGCAGCAGCUAAGAAUAUUCCGCAAUGGACGGAAGUCUGACGGAGCGACGCCGCGUGGAUGAAGAAGGCUGAAAAGUUGUAAAAUCCUGUUGUUGAUGAAGAAGAAGGGUGAGAGGGAAUGCUCAUCUGAUGACGGUAAUCGACGAAUAAGCCCCGGCUAAUUACGUG
rnacentral:rRNA from 1 species